UACAGAGGUCUCAACCGUUGUUCGGAUUCAUUGGGCGUAAAGGGUGCGUAGGCGGUCGCGCAAGUCGGAUGUGAAAUCUUAGGGCUCAACCCUGAAACUGCAUUCGAUACUGCGUGGCUCGAGUACUGGAGAGGAGACUGGAAUUUACGGUGUAGCAGUGAAAUGCGUAGAUAUCGUAAGGAAGACCAGUGGCGAAGGCGAGUCUCUG
rnacentral:rRNA from 1 species